GUCCACGCCGUAAACGAUGGAUACUAAGUGUUUGGAGAGUUAACCCUCUGAGUACUGAAGCUAACGCAUUAAGUAUCCCGCCUGGGAAGUACGGUCGCAAGGCUAAAACUCAAAGGAAUUGACGGGGGCCCGCACAAGCGGUGGAGUAUGUGGUUUAAUUCGAAGCAACGCGCAGAACCUUACCUACCCUUAACAUCCCGUGCUAUAUACAGAGAUGUAUAGUUCCCUUCGGGGACGCGGUGAUAGGUGCUGCAUGGCUGUCGU
rnacentral:rRNA from 1 species